ACGAUAGAGAGAGAAAAUUACAAUACAAAACUUAGAGAGAGAAACAAAACCAAAAAUCUGCAAAAUCAAAAACACUCUCAUCAAAAUUUCACACUACAAUUUUAAAUCCCUUCAUUCUCUUUUUUACAACCGUUGAUUUCAAUUUUCAAUUUUCAACCUUGAAUCUUCAAUUUUCGUUUAUCAUAACGAAAAUACGUUAGGGUUUGUUGAAUUCGUUCAUGAUAGCAGAAAUUUCUGACACGAAUUUUUAGUUUCGUUCAAAUUCGUAGUGUUUUGGUUUCGUGUAUGAGAUAUACGAUUUGGUAUUUAAUGGAUGAGAUCUGGGAGAAAGCUGUGGAAACGGCGUUAGAAGGAGAGAAAGAUCAUGUUUCAGCACGAACGUUAACACUUGACGGCGCCGUUAAGUGUGUACAAGGACGUUUACCACCACCGAGCCUUCUAGAAAGGUUCCAGAAUCUUCAGCAUCUUUCGAUUGCAAACGUUGGUGUUUCAUCGUUGGAGCAGUUCCCGAGGCUUCGGAGUUUGCAGAAGUUGAAUUUGUCUGAUAACCGGAUCGCUGGAGGGUUAGAGUAUUUAGUCGAAGCUGGUCUCGAAUCGCUUCGAGAUCUUGAUUUAUCGAAUAAUAGGAUUCAGAAUUUUGAAGAUCUUGCGCCUUUGGCGCAGGUGAAGCUAGUUUCGUUGGAUCUGUAUGAGUGUCCUGUUACUAGGGUUAAGGAUUAUCGAUCUAGGGUUUUUGGUUUGAUUAAGUCGUUGAAGUAUUUGGAUAAGAUGGAUGCUGAGGAGAAUGAAAGGCCGGAGAGUGAUGAUGAGGAAGAGGAUGAUAAUGAGGAUAACGAGGAGGAUGAUGAUAAUGAUGAGGAGGAAGAUGAGGAGGAUCCGGGGAGUGGUGAGAUUGAUGGUGGCGAGGAAGAUCGAGUUUUUGGGGUGGAGAAUGGCCAUAGUGAAGGUGUUGAUGGUGUUGUUGAUGCUGAUGAGGAUGAGGAGAGUGAUGCUGAUGAGGAGGUUACGGAGAGUUCGAGGGGGAGGGUUAAUGGGGUGAGUCAUCAGGAGAAUGGGUUUCAUGUCGAGCCGGUUGAUGUUGAGGAGGACGAUGAUGACGAGGAUUCUGGAGAGGAGAUUGAUGAGGAAGAGGGGGAUGAUGAGGAUGUUGUUGAGGUGAAUGAGAUUGAUGAUAGUGAUGAUGAUGAAGAUGGGGUUGAGUUUGAUGAGGAUGAUGAUGACGAGGACGAUGAUGAGGUGGAUAAUGAUGAAGGGGAUUUUGCUGAGCCUGAGAGUACUUCUGGGCGGUUGGUGAGUACUGAAGGUGAGAUCGAUGGGCAUGAGCAAGGGGAGGAAGAUGGAGAUGAAGAUGACAAUGGAGAGACCGGUGAAGAGGAGAUGGCGGUUGAAGAAGAAGAUGACGAUGAUGAUGGAGAUGAUGACGAUGGAGAGUUUGAAGAUGAUGAUGAAGAGGAAGACUUUGGUGCUGGGUAUCUGGUUCAGCCAGUUGGACAGGAUGAUCCUCUUAAUGAUGGAGCUGCUGACAUCGAUGAUGGAGAAGAAAACGAAGAUGGUGAAGAAGAAGAAGAGGAAGUUGAUGAUGAAGAUGUUGAUGACGAUGAUGCUCAAGAGGUGUUGCCUCCCGCCUCUUCACAUCCCAAGAGGAAGAGGGACAAUGAUGAUGAAGCUGAUGAGGACGAUGAAGAUGAAGCAGCAUUCACAAAGCCAUCGAAGAAGCACCAUUGACCACACACCAUUAUAAAUUAUGUCAUGUUCAAGUUCUGUGAUGGCUUCCAAGUAUUGGAAGCAGAGAAAUCCUCAAGAGUUUUAGAUAGAACAAUGGACUAUGUUUGCUUGUAAAAAGGAGCUUGGUUGGUGAUUCUUGGAGGGAAGCAAAGGGUGCGAACCUUUUAAAAAAUUUCCUCAAACUCUAGUUUAAUGAGAGCACUUUUUGGCGGCAGAAAAAGGAAGAAAAAAAGCUUGUAAAACACAUGUAGAUAUAGUUCUUAUGAAAAUGAUUCCUAUGAAGCAAGUUGGGUGUGCCAUUAUAUUGACGUGGCCAGUUCAUAAAUUAUUGCCAAAUUGUUACGUGGAUUUAUCCCAGUUUCUAUCUUAAAUUUAUUGAGCUUGAUGACAAUAUAAGGGGAAAAUAUUGGUCCCGUCUUAAUAGUCAAAAUGCCAGGUAAUGUACCAAUGGGGCCCCUCUAAUUGUGUAUGCAAUUGUUUUACUAAUGUCUAACAAAAAAUGGAUGGAAUUUGAUUGUUUAUUUAUGUUCUCAACAAGCAUCCAACACAGCAUUUUCCAUCAAUCGUGCAUGUCUUAAAUUUUCAUCUAUCCACGUGGGUUAGUUUGGUUUUUUUGAUCUUCAUUUGGACGGUUAGAUUAACAUUUAUUUUUUAUCACUUUGUUGUUUGUUUUUGUCACGCUUUGGAGCUAAGCCAAUCAGAGAUGGGAAUUAACUUUGCUCUUUUGAUGUUAUUAGGAGCAAUCGUGAAAGUUUGCGUGACGCACACGCAGGUUUUUGUGCGAAGCAUUAACAUCACAAGCUAGCUUGAGGUGUGGAUUUCUUUGAUUUAGUGGGAGCUCUUUGUUCAUAAGCACUCCUUCAGGGUGACACAUUACCAUAAUAUGCCUAUAUUGUGGAACACAAAUUUUUGUAUACAUUUAACUUAUCAAUUACAAAUUCGAUCAAAAAAUGGUUAAUUAUUA